AAUCAACGCUGGCGGCGUGCCUAACACAUGCAAGUCGAGCGAGAAAAGGGGAGCAAUCCCCUGAGUACAGCGGCGCACGGGUGAGUAACACGGGGGUAAUCUGCCCUGGAGUGGGGAAUAGCACCGGGAAACCGGUGCUAAUACCGCAUACCAUCAUAAGAUCUGCGGCUUUUGCGAUGAAAGCAGCAAUUCGCUCUAGGAGGAGCCCGCGGCGGAUUAGCUAGUUGGUGAGGUAAUGGCUCACCAAGGCAACGAUCAGUAUCCGGUCUGAGAGGACGGUCGGACACACUGGAACUGAGACACGGUCCAGACUCCUACGGGAGGCAGCAGUGGGGAAUUUUUGGCAAUGGGGGCAACCCUGACCAAGCAACGCCGCGUGGGUGAUGAAGUCUCUUGGGACGUAAAACCCUUUCGACGGGGACGAAAGCCGCAAGGUUUGACGGUACCCGUAGAAGAAGCCCCGGCUAACUCCGUGCCAGCCGCCGCAGUAAAAC
rnacentral:rRNA from 1 species